CGUCAGAUCAUCAUGCCCCUUAUGACCUGGGCAACACACGUGCUACAAUGGGAAGUACAACGAGUCGCAAACCGGCGACGGUAAGCUAAUCUCUUAAAACUUCUCUCAGUUCGGACUGGAGUCUGCAACUCGACUCCACGAAGGCGGAAUCGCUAGUAAUCGCGAAUCAGCAUGUCGCGGUGAAUACGUUCCCGGGUCUUGUACACACCGCCCGUCAAAUCAUGGGAGUCGGAAGUACCCAAAGUCGCUUGGCUAACUUUUAGAGGCCGGUGCCUAAGGUAAAAUCGAUGACUGGGAUUAAGUCGUAACAAGGUAGCCGUAGGAGAACCUGCGGCUGGAUCACCUCCUUUCUAAGGA
rnacentral:rRNA from 1 species